CAUUGAGCUACAGCUAUGGGCCAGGCUCGGGGCUGCAGGUGUUCGUCCUCGUGGCCCUUCCUGGCUGGCGAGGAGAAGAGCUGCCUAUGGGACAGAACUGCGGUCCUGAGCUGCAGUAACGCCUGGGAGGCACUACAGGGCAGCUGACACCCUAGCUGUACGCCAGAAGCGGCGGAUUUACGACAUUACCAAUGUUUUGGAAGGUAUCGGGCUAAUCGAGAAAAAGUCCAAGAACAGCAUCCAGUGGAAGUGAGUGGGGAUAGUGGGAGGGUAGUAGAGUCUCCCACCCAGAAGUGUCGGGCGUGGGGUGGAGGGUGCCAAAGAAGGCAGGGGCCAUGGGACCCAGAGUUCUCAGCAGUCCCUCUCAGCCCCACUCCCUGGGCUCAGGGGUGUGGGGCCUGGCUGCAAUACCCGGGAGAUUGCCGACAAGCUGAUUGAG
rnacentral:sRNA from 1 species